AUAGUUUUCCUGAAAAGUUGUAUAAAUCAAGUCUCGAUGAUUGAAAGAGGACGAUUAUUUUCAAAAUGAGCAAAUUAUUUGGAAGGAUGAAAGACUGGCCUGUCAGGAGGGCUACGGAUAACAAGAAGGGUGAAGAAGAAAAACAAAAGGAACAUCAAAAAGAAGAAGAGAAGAAAGGGAAUCACGCCAAAGAUGACAAGCUAAAAGGAUCAGAGAAAGAAAAAAAGGCGAAUUGAAGACAAGAAGGUAGUGGUUGAUCUCAAGAUGUGAAGGUGUACGCACUUCGGGAGGGGAAUCUCAAUUGAGAGGACUUGAGAUAUGGCACCAAAUGUGGAUGUAUCUGUUUAGCUAACCGGCUAUAAAAAAUAAAUGGGUGUAGAUAUGUGAUUGUGGAAGGGAGUAGGACGGGAGUGAUGGCCCCUUUUUGCCAAUGAACGACGAGCCUAUUCUUGGACAUACGUUAUACUUGACCGACGUUGGCUCCAUACCCAAGAAUAAGCUAGAGGGUCAAUCAUCACCCCAGGAGCCGACCCCUACUACUCCGAGGCGAGAAGAAGAAAAGAGCAAAGGCAAGAAGACAGAAGAAGCAGAGACAGAAGAAGCAGAGAUACCAGAAAAAAAGAACAAAGGCGAGAAGACAGAAGAAAACAAGGGUAUAAAAAUCUUUCCUAAAUACUUUGAUAUUACGUGGGGCGACGACACAAGAUACUGGAUACGACCGACAGAUGAAACGUGAGAAAAUCCCCCUUUCUCUAAUUAUUAUCGUCCAAUAUAUAGAAUUAGUUCUCUGCACAUUAAUUGUUCAUAUGGAAUAUUGCCAUCGAAUUUUCUAUUUAAUGCAUUUUUUACUG